UAUUGUGAUGAUACCAAUUACAGACCUGUUCCAAUGCAAAUCUGUAUAUGAGGACAACCUAAUAUUGCCAUUAUUUCUGAGU
rnacentral:snoRNA from 15 species